CUGAGGGUCUCGCCUCUCGGUAAAUUGGUGUGUUUUUGUGGUGUGAAAUGUUCUUGAGUGUUAAAAUGUGCUCAACACCUAAGUGACAUCUGGGAGUCUGAGUUUGCAGAACAAAGGUGAGCAUUAAUCCCAGUUUGGAUGUUAAUUUGGCCUCAAUAAAGCAUUCCAGUAAAACUAAAAUUUGAACAGAACCCAGAAUUCAAGAAGCAGCCAAGGAUAUGAAAGGAAAAUAAUAAUUCUGAGUGCUUUGAAAUCUAUAGCAGUUUGUUUUAAAAAAAAAAGGGGGGGGCUUUUUUCCCUCCUACCCUUAGAUUUUUCACAGCCCUGUUCCCACGUCAUCAUUUAAUAUGGCUUGUCUGGAGUUGACCAGCAGUCUUAAAGAAUGUCAAGUCUUCACUUUCCGUUCAAGAAAUAAGGCCCUCCCAGGACCUCCUAAACAUUUCUGUUUUCCAUCGAACGAGAAUUACCAUCUGCUAUAAUGGGACAAGGGCCUGGCUGGUUUAGGAGACCCGGGUUGACGUGCUGGCUUCGACAGAGACUGACACGAGAAGUCCCUCCUGCGGACCUUGGCCUUUCAUCUGUAGAUUUGGGGCAGAUUGGCUGUUGGUUAAGAUGACCCUGAAGGAUGUCUUCUACGAUGUUCCUCAGUUUUACAGGACUCUUCCAAGGCCAGGCAUCCACCCGUAACGGGUGGAGAGAGUUGAUGUGGUGGAGAAAUGCCUUUCAAUAUUUUUAAGUGCAAUAUUAACUCACGUCGGAUAUAACAAGUAACAGUGCAAUGAACUGAAGUCAGGAACAGCAAAGCCAUUAAGAAAAUGUGCCAUUAGGGAAAGGCCUCGCGUUUCCUAUGGAGGAGAUUCACCAGGUCAUGUCACAGCCACGAUGUGGGGACAGCUUGUCCUCUGCCCGCGCGUGGGCCCUAGUCUGCAUCCACAGUGAAGGCCACAUACGUAGGGUCUCCUGCACAUCACGAGUUAACCCAGAUGCUGAAAGGAGCGUGCAAUUUAAGGGACAGUGCAACAAUAACGCCAUGACCAAGGAUAAAGAGCCCUGUGCGAGGGUUGGUCCUCAGCGAAAGUGCUCUCGGAUGCAACCAAAACAGAAGCACCCAUGGGGGGCGAGCCUGUUGUAGAAUGAAGCGCUGUCUUUCACGCCGCCAUUCACGGAUUCCUCAUCUGUCCAGUUCACAACCUCAAAGACCGUGGACGCGAGAUGGACCAGGAAGGUCUCUGUUGCAGAAACGUGUGUCAAAACAGGAAAACAACUCAUGUUGCAGGUUGCUUUCAUAUUAAGUCAUGAGAUGCAUGAUUUUUCAUAAAUAAAAAAAAAGAAAAGAGAAAAAGGAGACCCA
rnacentral:lncRNA from 1 species